rnacentral:rRNA from 1 species
UACGUAGGGUGCAAGCGUUAAUCGGAAUUACUGGGCGUAAAGCGUGCGCAGGCGGCUUUGCAAGACAGAUGUGAAAUCCCCGGGCUUAACCUGGGAACUGCAUUUGUGACUGCAUGGCUGGAGUGUGGCAGAGGGGGGUGGAAUUCCGCGUGUAGCAGUGAAAUGCGUAGAGAUGCGGAGGAACACCGAUGGCGAAGGCAGCCCCCUGGGCUAGCACUGACGCUCAGGCACGAAAGCGUGGGGAGCAAACAGG